CGUGUAGGCGGCUUUGUAAGCCUGGUGUGAAAGCCCGCAGCUUAACUGCGGAGACGCGCUGGGAACUACAAGGCUCGAGUCUAAGAGGGGGAACUGGAAUUCCAGGUGUAGGGGUGAAAUCUGUAGAUAUCUGGAAGAACACCGGAGGCGAAGGCGAGUUCCUGGCUAUAGACUGACGCUGAGGCGCGAAAGCGUGGGGAGCGAACAGGAUUAGAUACCCUGGUAGUCC
rnacentral:rRNA from 1 species